GUCCACGCCCUAAACGAUGUCAACUAGUUGUUGGGGAUUCAUUUCCUUAGUAACGUAGCUAACGCGUGAAGUUGACCGCCUGGGGAGUACGGUCGCAAGAUUAAAACUCAAAGGAAUUGACGGGGACCCGCACAAGCGGUGGAUGAUGUGGAUUAAUUCGAUGCAACGCGAAAAACCUUACCUACCCUUGACAUGCCACUAACGAAGCAGAGAUGCAUUAGGUGCUCGAAAGAGAAAGUGGACACAGGUGCUGCAUGGCUGUCGU
rnacentral:rRNA from 1 species